GCAAGUGGGCAGGUGAAUGAGUGGAUGAGGGAGGGAGGGGACCAAUGCAUCAGAAGUGGAGAGUAAACUAGUAAACCAGCAGCUGGAUGGUUAACGGCUCAGCCGGAGGGAAGAGCAGUUGCUGCUGUCACAUGGCCUCUGGGAGAGAGGAAGGAAUGUGGCUUCGGAGAAACUGGGUGGCCCAGUGGCAGGCUGGCUCACCGUGAAUACCCCCCAGGUCUCCCUCCCUAGACAGCAAGUCUCCAGAACAAGGGGCUCUGGAGGCCCCAGGGCCUCUGCCUGCCAGACACAUGCACAUUCGAUGACCAAGUAUCCGGCUGGCCUGGUCAAUCAUCAACGGGCCACUGAGAGCUCAAUUGCUUAAGAGGACCCUGGGCCAGGUAUCGACCUGCCCACCCCUUCUGGGAGGAAUAGAGGAGCAAGAGACCCAUUGGCCCUGCCUGAGGUGUAGGUGGGGGUGGGUGGCUGAGAGGCCCUCACCGCUGCCCUGCACAGGCAGGUAGGCCUGGCCGGGAUAGCCACCCUGUCCACUGGCCGCUGGGCCUGGGGUCAGUGCCCUGGCCUGUUUGCCUAAGGGGGUGGGUUCAAGCUGGCAUGGAAGUGGCUCACUGCCAUGGCCAAGGAGAGCCGACGGCCCCUCCUUCUGGGGUAAGGCCCCACUUGGGCUCUGGACUGGGGGUGGGGGAGGCUAGAUGGAGCCAGGAAUAAAGAUAAUGUGUGAGAAAGGGGGCGAGGGUAAGGCUGUUGCUCUAAUGAGAGGCUGUGUAUCUUAGAGCUGGAGGGAGGGGCCCCUAGGGGUCUAUGAGCCUACCUCCCAACACCUUCCAUGAAACCCAAAGGGAAAGUCAAGGACAAUUCUGUGCAUUGACGGGCACACAGAGGGACUCCCCACCCCCAGUCAACUCUCUGGGGGAGACUGAAGUAAGCAAGAGGCAGGUGGGAGCCCAAGAAUCUCUGGAGAACAAGUGCCAGAUACUCCUCCACCCAGAGUCAUGCCUGGUCAGGCACAGCCCUGCCUAGCCAUGAGUUGUAUCCCUACCUCCAAUGGGUGCAUGUGGGGGUGUGGGACAUGUGGUCCAGGGAGGUAACAGGGGGUGUGAAGGGUGGGGGGAGGGCACACAGAAAGCUGCUCAAACAGCCUGGCUCCCUCCCUUGUGCCCUCUGGCCUUGCAUGAGCCACCUGCCGCAAGGAACCCUUUCAGGGGACAGAGAUCAAUACUGCCCUCCUUGGCCUUCCGGUGCAGGGCCCCUUGGGCUAGUUAGCCCCAUAUCCCCAAAUAGGGACCUUCUGGAGACUACACUCCAUCCCAGAAAACACCACAGAGAUCAGUCUGAAGACAGAGCAGGGCAGCAGUGGGAAGCUGAGUUUGGGGCUGGGGACCUCCCAUCUCUGUCUCAGCAUGGGCCCAGAGUGGGGACGCGAGCGCCCUCUGGUGCCUUCCUGUGGCACAGGCGCAUAGAGCUAUAUGCCCCAGACGGGACUCAAGCGAGCACAGCUUCAAGGCAGCCUCCCACAGACUCCAGGAGCAUCUUCGGAGCAACCAGCAACUGCCUAAAACCAAAGAUUAAGGUGAUACAGCCUACAUCAAAGAGUCAUUGUGAGGACUGCACGACAUCCGCAGCCCUCUUCGCACCACGUUCUACAAAUAAUAAUAAUAACACCAAGAGGAAAAAGCUGUUUGAAUCCUCACAACGACCGGGCUGAGGCACUCCACUAUAACCACUCGGAUCUUAACAAGAGAGGCCAUUUCCAGCCAAAGGGUGGCUUUUUCUCUCCUGUCUCCUGCUCCCAAGAGAGACUGCGCUGCUGGCCCAGCAAAACGGUCCCUCCUUCUGUUGUGGUUGUAAAGUGUCAGUGGUAUGUAACCAAGAGAAAUGAAGCCAUAUGUUCGCAAAAAGACUUGUACGGGAACGUUCCUAGCAACCGUACUCAUAAUAACCCCAAAACAGACUGUGGCACCCCUACCGAACAGAAUAUGAUUUCACGAUGAAAAGGGACAUAUCACAGACACACGUGGCAUCAUGAAUGUAUCAACAACAUUAUGCUGAUGAAAGAAAGGGCUGCCAAGGAGACCUCUCGUGUGAUUCUACUUAUACGUGGUUCUAAAGCCGGCGAAACAGGGGCGCCCGGGUGGCUCAUUCCGUUAAGCGUGCGAUUCUUGAUCUGGGCUCAGAUCGUGAUCUCACGAUUUGUGAGAUCGAGCCCAGCAUG